rnacentral:tRNA from 1 species
GGACUAGGAGUCAAUCCCAAGGCUGCGGGUUCGAGCCCCGCCGUGGGCU